AUCUAACCUGGUGAGCCCGCACAUCCACCUGAGCAUCCUCAUCUCCGCAACCUUCAUUCUCCCAACAUGAGAGUUCUUCACUGGCCAGCACUCCACCCCAUACAAUAUGGCAGGUCUAACCACAGCUCUAUAAAAUUUUCCCUUACGUUUCUGUGGAACUUUCUUGUCACACAGGACUCCUGAUGCAAGCCUCCACUUUGAC
rnacentral:lncRNA from 1 species